AGACAGUACACAGUGGGUCUUGCAGAUGAUGCGUCUGCGUUUGGUCUUCAAAGUGAACAGAUGACUACUUUCUUCGUCCUUUUCCUAGAUGCAGGUUGCGGCCCGGUGAAUCGCUUCACCUGACUCAGCAGCUUCCUUUACCUCUUUUUCAGAAGAGGCUCCUUGGUCCACGGCUUCCCGAUUAAGGGGUAGCUGGAAAGGUUGUGAACAGAAAACACCGUAAAAGAUUCUACAGGGUCCCAAGGAUGCUGAUCUUGAACUCAUUAUGUAGCUGAGGAUGACUUUGAACUCCUGAUCCUCCUCCCUCCACCUGCCAAGUGCUGGCUUUUAGAGAUGUGCAACACAAUGCUUGGUG